ensembl:lncRNA
GGGGUACAGAGUAAGGGGAGAGACUGCUUCAGCUCGACCUCAGGGGAGGUGACAUGGAAGCCUGGACAAGGAGAAGGAGCCCGUCUUCGGAAGAUCUGGGGCUUCCCUGGUGGCUCAGAUGGUAAAGAAUCUGCCUGCAAUGCAGGAGACCUGGGUUCGAUUUCUGGGCUGGGAAGAUCCCCUGGAGAAGGGCAUGGCUACCCUCUUCAGUGUUCUUGCCUGGAGGAUUCCAUGGACAGAGGAGCCUGGCUACAGUCUAUGGUCACAAAGAGCUGGACACGACUGAGCGACUUUCGCUUUCUUUCUGGUGGCUCAGUGGUGAAGAAUCUGCCUGCCGGUGCAGGAGACACAGGUUUGAUCCCUCGUCUGGGAAGAUCCUACAUGCUGCAGAGCAGCUAAGCCCGUGGGCCACGACUCCUGAGCCUGUGCUCUAGAGCCUGGGAGCCGCAGUGACUGAGCCCACAUGCCACACUACUGAAGCCCGCAUGCCCUAGAGCCCCUGUUCAAGAGCAAGAAAAGCCACCUUAGAAGCCUGUCUACCACAACUAGAGAGAAGCCGAUGCAACGAUGAAGAGCCAGCACAGCCAAAAA